AGAGUUGAUCAUGGCUCAGGAUGAACGCUAGCUACAGGCUUAACACAUGCAAGUCGAGGGGAAACGACAUCGAAAGCUUGCUUUUGAUGGGCGUCGACCGGCGCACGGGUGAGUAACGCGUAUCCAACCCGCCACCACUUGGGGAGUAACCUUGCGAAAGUAAGACUAGUACCCAAUGAUAUCUCUAGAAGACAUCUGAAAGAGAUUAAAGAUUCAUCGGUGAUGGAUGGGGAUGCGUCUGAUUAGCUUGUUGGCGGGGUAACGGCCCACCAAGGCAACGAUCAGUAGGGGUUCUGAGAGGAAGGUCCCCCACAUUGGAACUGAGACACGGUCCAAACUCCUACGGGAGGCAGCA
rnacentral:rRNA from 1 species